GGUAAUCCCAAAGAACAGCUACGGAGUGCUUAGGCACUCUGGGGAAAGUCCUCGGACAUACUGCAGAAAUGCGUCCUGAAAGGGGUAUUCUAGUCAUGUGAUAAAGUUAUGCUGUUAGGUAUUGGUCUACUGAACACAAUGAGGCUUACUCUUGGGAGUAC
rfam:Anncaliia algerae PRA339 unplaced genomic scaffold supercont2.52, whole genome shotgun sequence.